AUGAUAGUAAAAUACUCCGAUUUCCUUUCCAGGGAAUAUUGUUCGAUAUUUUUACUUAUUUAAAAAUCCUUCAUCUAUAAAAGCGUUAUUGGAGGAAUUUCAAAGGCGCAUAACUCCUUUUCUAAAGGUACACGGUCUUUCAUUUGACACUACUCUAGCAUUUAAUUGGGCUGCGCUUUCGUUCCUGUCCGGUUCAAAUUUUGUUUACUAUAAAAGCGGGGCUAAGCCAUUAUAAAUUUUUUCUGUUUUUUUUAUUGCAUCUUUCCUUGUUCCUGCAGUAAAACAGAUAACUUACCUAGGCAAACUAUAAGCGUGGAGUACAAGGAGUAUGGUUGUGAAAAACUUGAAAUCAAUGCUGAAAGCAUCAGCCAUGGAGAUGACGUCGUCGUGAUCAUAUAUGACGUCCUUGCUAUUGGCGGAAUUAUGAAGGUUGCUCUAGACCUGCUAAAAACCUGGAGGAAAUGUCAUGAAAUGCUUGGUGCGUAUCGAAAUCACCGAGUUUAAGGGAAAAAAUAUUAUUGGCGCCCCCUUGUUACGCACUUUUUGAAAGAUAAUGGGAUAUAUGUACAAUACUUUUAAUCCCACACCCAUAG